rnacentral:rRNA from 1 species
GAAUGCUGACAUAAGUAACGAUAAAGCGGGUGAAAAGCCCGCUCGCCGGAAGACCAAGGGUUCCUGUCCAACGUUAAUCGGGGCAGGGUGAGUCGACCCCUAAGGCGAGGCCGAAAGGCGUAGUCGAUGGGAAACGGGUUAAUAUUCCCGUACUUGGUGUUACUGCGAAGGGGGGACGGAGAAGGCUAUGUUGGCCGGGCGACGGUUGUCCCGGUUUAAGCGUGCAGGUGUGUGUUCCAGGUAAAUCCGGUUCACUUUAACACUGAGGCGUGAUGACGAGGCACUACGGUGCUGAAGCAACAAAUGCCCUGCUUCCAGGAAAAGCCUCUAAGCAUCAGGUAACAUCAAAUCGUACCCCAAACCGACACAGGUGGUCAGGUAGAGAAUACCAAGGCGCUUGAGAGAACUCGGGUGAAGGAACUAGGCAAAAUGGUGCCGUAAC